rnacentral:rRNA from 1 species
GACGAACGCUGGCGGCGCGCCUAACACAUGCAAGUCGAACGAGCGAGAGAGAGCUUGCUUUCUUGAUCGAGUGGCGAACGGGUGAGUAACGCGUGAGGAACCUGCCCCAAAGAGUGGGACAACAUUUGGAAACUACUGCUAAUACCGCAUAAGCCCACGACCCGGCAUCGGGGGGAGGGAAAAGUAGCAGUUCGCGUUGGGAUGGCCUCGCUUCCGAUUAGUUAGUUGGGGAGGUAACGGCCCACCAAGGCGACGAACGGUAGCCGGGCUGAGAUGCUGACCCGCCGCAAUGGGAAUGAGGCACGGACCCGAACCCUACGCGAGGCAGCAGAGGGGAAUAUUACACAAUGAGGCAAAACGCGAUGCAGCGGCGCCGGGUGGAGGAGGAAGGGGUUCGGAUUGUAAACUCCUGUUGGUGAGGAAGAGAAUGACGGUACUCAACAAGGAAGCGACGGCUAACUACGUG